AUUCUACUCCCUCCGUUGCACAAUACAUGCCUUCUAUUUGUCAAAAUAUAUAUGUAUCUAGACAUGUUUUAGUAUAUAGGUACAUCCAUUUUUAAACAAAUGGAAGUCAAGUAUUUUGGAACGGAGGGAGUACACA
rfam:Triticum aestivum genome assembly, contig: Triticum_aestivum_CS42_TGACv1_scaffold_586070_7BL